rnacentral:lncRNA from 1 species
AAAAAAAAAAAAAAACCCACAAAAUUCAGGAGUUUUUGAUGUUGUCUUUGUUGUUGUUUUGGGGUUUUAUUUUUUUCCCCAUGGAAUUCUUUUCAUGACCCUGCAGGGUCAUGAAAACAUUUCUUCUGCCCUUAAGAGAGAGCUGCCUCCUCCUUUCUUCAUAGUUUUCAGGGAAGGGGAAUUUGGAGAUUUUCUUCCAUAUACCUUUCAGAGUCUGAUAGCUAUGCUCAAACUCACACCAUUUCUACAAAUAAAGGUGCACCCUCUUAUCAGGGCUGGCUGGUGCAGAAGAUAAAAACUUCAGUCUAAUAUCUGGGAAUGAGAAACAUAGCAGUUCUCUGUUUUUUUAAAGUCAGAUUACCCGUAGCUCCAAGCUCCCGCCAUGCAACUGGAGGGAAGUCCAAGAUUGACCAAUAUUGGCCUGCUUGGCUCAGACUACCACUCAGUCACUGCAUGAACUUGACCAAUUACUAACCAACCAUUCUGUGCCUCAGUCUCCUCAUUAGUAUAAUGGGGCUGUUAGUAGCUCUCUUGUUUAUGCAAGGUGGUUGUGCAAGACUAAUUGAAACCAUAUGCAUAAGUGCUUAUAGCAAUACCUGUUUCAUAUCAAGUGUUCAGAUGCUGUUGCUUUGAUCAUAACUUUGAUGAUUACUGUUAUGAAUUGAGAGACUUAUGUGACCCCAGGAAAAUGGGACAGAGACAUCAUCUUAGCCUAGCACUCUGACCAUCCCUUAUCAGUUCACUCCUUGUGCUCCUUGGUGUGCCAGCCAACACCGAUCCUCUAUCACCUGUUGGGCACCUGUGUGUACACUGGGCAGACACAGAGUGAUGGCCUAAGCCGGACUCAAUACUGGUGGACCCUCACAUGGGCCUGCGCUCCAAAAAUACAGUUCCCUAAAAUCCACAGGCCACCCCCACCAGAGGACUAGCUGCCUUCCCAAGCAGAAGGGAACAAUGUCUUUUAUACCCUUUCAACUAUUCAGUUUCAGAGUCUGUCUGUCUGUCUGUCUCUGUCUCUCUACUAAGGGGUCCAUGGCCUCCUGGAUGAUCCAGUUCUGUGGCUUUAGGACCACAGUCUCUAAAUAAAAGUCUGUUAAUUUUCCCCUGGAGCAAAAGAUCCUCCACCUGCAGAAUGGGAGCCUCACUCUCUCAAAGGUGGGAUGUGGGCAAAGGGAAAGAACCUUCUCUCCUUUGGGAUUGUGUUGCACCUACAGCAGGAUUCAGGACACAGCUAAUUUCUCAUUCAGACUUCAUGCUGGCUUGAAAGCAAGUUUUGGACAGCAUGGGUCUGGCACUUUCACCCCUUUAGAGUCUGAGCCAGCAGUGUUCUAGGAGCUGAGCCGAAGGACGGAUACAUUUUUUUCUGAGUUGAGGCAUUAGGGACUUUGGACAGAUGCCUAAAUCAGAGACUUAAGGAGUCGGUGGGUCAGAACUGAAUCUCCAGACCAAAGCUGGUCUAUUAAAUCCAGAGCAGCUGAAAUGAACAGGCAGUUAAUGGACUCAUGGGUGCUGGGGAGCCAGUGUAUGAGGGGAUUCCAAGAGGAAGGAAAGAAGGUGUAUCUGGAGGUAUUCCCAGUAGUUGGCAGUGACUUUUUAAAAAAUGUGCCAUAUAUGUCACUUGUUUCCAUCCUAUUCUAGGAUUAUUGUCCUCUAGUGGCCAAUAUGGUUCCUUCUUUUUAUCCUACUGCCCCUGGCCUGAUUGUACCAAUGUCUCUGAUAAGUUAGAGUAGCCACACUUCUUACUGUAGACCUCUCAAAGAAUAUCACAAGACCCCACUUUUUCAUUCAGUACCCCUGCUCCAGCAUUAGAUUUAGAAGAAAAGAAAAACUAGCAUCUGUUGAUCAUUUCCUGUACAAAGGCCACAUCCAAGUGUGUUGUCUAAUUUAGAAUUGGGUUCUAAUCCCAGCUCUUCCAGUCCAAGCUGUAUGACCUUAGGCAAAUCAUUUAACAUCAAAAAGAUCUGCCUCACCUAUAAAAGCUCUAAAAACAAUGCUUCUUUGACACUAUCAAGCUUUGGGCGUUAUCUUUAUUCUUUCCUCAUAACCUAAUUUUCUGACUCUAUAGUUUCACUUCUACCAUUUUUUAGCUAUCUGUUAGACAAGGAAAUAAAUGGAAAACCAAUCUUCAGAUGAACUCAUCAAUGCUGAUACGUGUUAAUGACUUAACAAGUUUUAUCUCUCAGUGAAAUUUAAAUUUUAAAAUGUAAAUUUCAUUUCUUAGUUCAAAAAAGAAUUUGAAUGUCUAGGGUCUGUCAGAUUCUGUUGUUCCUGUGGCUUGAAUGUUUUAACCUAGAAUUUCCCAAAGUAUGCACCAUAAAAAAGUUCCACAGGCAAAUAAAGCAUUAAAAUACAACACACUAAUUUCUGCUUCUGCCCAAGGUGGAGUAAAGGGGCCUGAGUUUACUUGCUUCCUGAAAUAACAAAAUAUACAAACUGUACAGAACAGUUAUCAAGACUGCUCAUCAGGCAACAAAGGACAGUGAACCCUAAGAGACAAGAAAGAUGUGAAUGCCUUAGUUUAGUGUCUUGGGAGAUCUUCCAGACUGCAGUGCAGGGAGGGACAACCCAGGCAGAAUCAAGGAGAUGGACCUGAUGCUUUGGGAAGUCAUGAUGGCCUGCACUCAUCGAAUAGCAUGCUAGAAAGGAGAGGGCUGCACACAGAGAGAACUCUGGAGACCUGAAAAGGUCCGCCAUGAACAGACAGCGGUGUAUAGAUCAACACAUGCAUGUGGGAAACUACCAUAUUUAAGUAGGGGAGAGACACUCAAAAGACACCCAAAUGCCUGCUAUUCACGCGAAGCUGAGCAUAGUGAUUGUUCCCAACAGGCAGACUAGAAAAACUCAUAAUUCAUAAGACAUUUGGCUAGAAUACUCAGGAAUGUUGUGCCUCUGCAGUGGGGAAUAAUUAACCUGAGAUAGAGCAUGGUCAUGACCUGCCUAAUGAAUCAUAAAAAUCACAUGUGAAAGGAACAAAUUAUUUCCAAGCAACUGCAUCCCAGAACAAAGAUAAA